rnacentral:misc_RNA from 1 species
GAUGAAGAACGUAGCAAAAUGCGAUAAGUAAUGUGAAUUGCAGAAUUCAGUGAAUCAUCGAAUCUUUGAACGCACAUUGCGCCCGCUGGUAUUCCGGCGGGCAUGCCUGUUCGAGCGUCAUUUCAACCCUCAAACCCCCCGGGUUUGGUGUUGGGGAUCGGCUCUGCCUCACGGCGGUGCCGCCCCCGAAAUACAUUGGCGGUCUCGCUGCAGCCUCCAUUGCGUAGUAGCUAACACCUCGCAACUGGAACGCGGCGCGGCCAUGCCGUAAAACCCCAACUUCUGAAUGUUGACCUCGGAUCAGGUAGGGAUACCCGCUGAACUUAAGCAUAUCAAUAAGCGGAGGA